rnacentral:tRNA from 1 species
UGAAUAAAAGUCAAAUAGAGACAAAUUAUUGUUAAUAAUUUAAAUGAAGAAAAUUCUUAUUCAA